rnacentral:rRNA from 1 species
GGACGANGAUCACACCGCGAACUUCUAAACCUUUGACGAUUGACCCAUGUUGCCUCGGCGGGUUCUCCCGCCAGAGGAUACAUCAAAACUCCUGUUUUAACGGUGUUGUCUGAGCUACAAGCAACGAAUCAAAACUUUCAACAACGGAUCUCUUGGUUCUGGCAUCGAUGAAGAACGCAGCGAAAUGCGAUAAGUAGUGUGAAUUGCAGAAUUCAGUGAAUCAUCNAAUCUUUGAACGCACAUUGCGCCCCUUGGUAUCCCGAGGGGCAUGCCUGUUCGAGCGUCAUUUCACCACUCAAGCCUGGCUUGGUGUUGGGCGACGUCCCCUUGGGGACGCGCCUCNAAACGCUCGGCGGCGUGGCACCGGCUUUAAGCGUAGCAGAAUCUUUCGCUUUGGAAGUCGGGGCCCCGUCUGCCGGAAGACCUANUCGCAAGGUUGACCUCGGAUCANGCAGGGAUACCCGCUGAACUUAAGCAUAUCAUUAAGCGGAGGAAGCUGGGACGGAAAAUGGCCUCCCGUANGCUCCCAGCUUGCGGUUGGCCCAAACGCGAGUCCUCGGCAACGAAUGGCGCCGUGACGAUCGGUGGUAAUGCUCCUAGCGUGCCUUGUCUCCAGUCGCGCGCGCCCGUUGUCCGUGCGGACCCCCUCGGACCCUUUUGUGCAUCGCUCGAACGAUGCUCGCAUCNCGACCCNGGUCAGGCGGGAUUACCCGCUGAGUUUAGCAUAUC